UAGGGAAUCUUCCGCAAUGGACGCAAGUCUGACGGAGCAACGACGCGUGAGUGAAGAAGGAUUUCGGUUCGUAAAACUCUGUUGUUAGAGAAGAACAGCGCAUAGAGUAACUGUUAUGCGUGUGACGGUAUCUAACCAGAAAGACACGGCUAACUACGUGCCAGCAGCCGCGGUAAUACGUAGGUGGCAAGCGUUGUCCGGUUUUAUUGGGCGUAAAGCGAGCGCAGGCGGUCAAUUAAGUCUGAUGUGAAAGCCCCCGGCUCAACCGGGGAGGGUCAUUGGAAACUGGUUGACUUGAGUGCAGAAGUGGAGAGUGGAAUUCCAUGUGUAGCGGUGAAAUGCGUAGAUAUAUGGAGGAACACCAGUGGCGAAGGCGACUCUCUGGUCUGUAACUGACGCUGAGGCUCGAAAGCGUGGGUAGCAAACAGG
rnacentral:rRNA from 1 species